rnacentral:rRNA from 1 species
UACGUAGGGUGCGAGCGUUAAUCGGAAUUACUGGGCGUAAAGCGUGCGCAGGCGGUCUGUUAAGACCGAUGUGAAAUCCCCGGGCUUAACCUGGGAACUGCAUUGGUGACUGGCAGGCUUUGAGUGUGGCAGAGGGAGGUAGAAUUCCACGUGUAGCAGUGAAAUGCGUAGAGAUGUGGAGGAAUACCGAGUGGCGAAGGCAGCCUCCUGGGCCAACACUGACGCUCAUGCACGAAGCGUGGGGAGCAAACAGG